GUGUCAGCAGCCGCGGUAAGACGUAGGGGGCCAGCGUUGCUCGGAAUUACUGGGCGUAAAGGGUUCGUAGGCGGUGCGGUAAGUCGGAAGUGAAAUCUCUGGGCUUAACUCAGAGGCUGCUUUCGAAACUGCCGUGCUGGAGUGCGGGAGAGGCGAGUGGAAUUGCAGGUGUAGCGGUGAAAUGCGUAGAUAUCUGCAGGAACACCCGUGGCGAAGGCGGCUCGCUGGACCGCAACUGACGCUGAGGAACGAAAGCUAGGGGAGCAAACAGGAUUAGAUACCCUGGUAGUCC
rnacentral:rRNA from 1 species